rnacentral:lncRNA from 1 species
UGAGAGGAGGGUGCAGACCAGAGUUUUAAAUCGAGAAUGCAACAGUGAAGGAUUUCAAGCUUGGAGUGAGAGGGGAGACUACGAGCCUGCAGUGAUAAGGCAAAGCUGAAGAUUUCAGAGCCAAGGCCACACCCUACAGUUGCCAUGGAAUGGGGUGGCACAGUGGGCUUUGGAGGUAAAGUCUGCAGUUGAGAAGUUCAAGGGUAAGAUACAAGGAGUCCACGGAGCCUCCCCUGCAAGCAUCAGUACAGAAGUCGAUGAUAAUCUGGAUGCAAGCCCAGGAGUGUGGAGUCCACUGACUCAGAAGACCUGCAUCUAAGGAAUUGGCUGUCCUUAUCCUUAAGAAUGAUGACUGUGUUUUCAAUUCCAGUAGACCCUUUGAUGUGUUCUGAAUAAAUAUUCCUUUUGGAAUUGAA